rnacentral:rRNA from 1 species
AGAGUUUGAUCCUGGCUCAGAUUGAACGUUGGCGGCAGGCCUCAACCAUGCAAGUCGAACGAGAAAGGCCCUUCGGGGCUGAGUAAAGUGGCGGACCGGUGAGUAACGCGUAGGAAUCUACCCGGCAGUGGGGGAUAACUCGGGGAAACUCGAGCUAAUACCGCAUGCGACCGGUGCCUUAGGGUGCCGAUGAAAGCGGGGGAUCUCCCGUGGCGGCUUUAAGCCGCAGCGGAAGACCUCGCGCUGUCGGAGGAGCCUGCGUUGGAUUAGCUUGUUGGUAGGGUAACGGCCUACCAAGGCGACGAUCCAUAGCUGGUCUGAGAGGACGAUCAGCCACACUGGGACUGAGACACGGCCCAGACGGCUACGGUCGGCAGCAGGUGGGAAUCUUGCACAAUGGGCGAAAGCCUGAUGCAGCCAUGCCGCGUGUGUGAAGAAGGCCUUAGGGUUGUAAAGCACUUUCAGUGGCGAAGAAAAGGUCGGCGUUAAUAGCGCCGCCCCUUGACGUAACCACAGAAGAAGC